rnacentral:piRNA from 1 species
AUAAAGUUUGUGCACAGUUGAGCUAUC